rnacentral:rRNA from 1 species
CAGCCGCCACGGUAAUACGUAGGGUGCAAGCGUUAAUCGGAAUUACUGGGCGUAAAGCGUGCGCAGGCGGUUUCGUAAGUCUGUCGUGAAAUCCCCGGGCUCAACCUGGGAAUGGCGAUGGAGACUGCAAGGCUAGAAUCUGGCAGAGGGGGGUAGAAUUCCACGUGUAGCAGUGAAAUGCGUAGAUAUGUGGAGGAACACCGAUGGCGAAGGCAGCCCCCUGGGCUAAGAUUGACGCUCAUGCACGAAAGCGUGGAGAGCAAACAGGAUUAGAUACCCGAGUAGUCCCUGUCUCUUAUAC